rnacentral:lncRNA from 1 species
AACGAUGGGAAGAGAUCUGGGCUGGCCUGCUCGUCCCACGGACUGAAUGCAGGAACACCACCUCCCUUUGUGCAGUGCUCUGGGAGGCCAAGGUGGAAAAGGCUCUAAUGGAAUUCCUGCAGGGACAGUUUUCCCUGGCUCAGUGGGAGCUGUUUGCACACAGACGCCACGGAGUAAGCUGCUAGGUGUUUAUUAACUCAGCUUGCAAGAGGAGGGGAAGGGCAGAGGAAAACCGCUGAGGGGAAAAUGCCGGUUAAAAAGACAGACCACCACCCCCUGCUGUCCACCGGCGCUGAGGGAGCCGCGGCUGAGCGAGGUCCUUGUAACCUGUCUGCAGAAAGACUGAGAGCCUCUCACUGGAGUGGCAGGAGCUGCUGGUUAAAACUGAGAGCGGAGCCCAGCCACCAGUCCCUCAUCGUGACUUAGACGGAUAAUUAGUCAGGUUAUCUGAUAUAAUUACACAACAUUCAAGUGCAGGAGUGCAGGAAGAAGUGAUAAAAUCAAGAACAGCUUUAAUGAGGCCAGAAAAGGAAGAAAAAUGGAGUCAACUCAGGGGAACUUCAAGGUCCUUUUGGUGCUAUUCAAGCAAAGAAAUGGGAAUACUGCUAAAACAGAAGAAGCUGGGUGGAGUCAGAAGCCUGAUUUGGAAGUAGCAGAGCAUUCAGCACAGAACCUUAAAGUUAGAUGGUGUCAGGAACACACGGAGGAUGGAAAGUCUUGUGAAAUCAGCCUCUGUCAUGCCCAGCACUGAAGAAAACACUGUGUUGAAAAAAGUGCCUGUUCCCAGGCUUUCAGACUAAAUAACAGCAGACCAAAGGUGAGGGAGAAGCCGAAGCCUGGACAAGGGAUUUGAUGGAGUUCCUGCAGCAAGUCCAUACCCAGGGUGGAAGUGAGUCCAAACACCUCACACCUUGCUUGUAACAAUCAGGGUGAAGCUGCUCCCCAGCCCACCUUGCACUGAUCGGGUUAUGAUUUUCCUGCCUAUUGCUGUAACACACAACCAGGUUUGCAAGAUGUUAAAAU